AUUGAACGCUGGCGGCAGGCUUAACACAUGCAAGUCGAGCGGGGGAAGGUAGCUUGCUACCGGACCUAGCGGCGGACGGGUGAGUAAUGCUUAGGAAUCUGCCUAUUAGUGGGGGACAACAUCUCGAAAGGGAUGCUAAUACCGCAUACGUCCUACGGGAGAAAGCAGGGGAUCUUCGGACCUUGCGCUAAUAGAUGAGCCUAAGUCGGAUUAGCUAGUUGGUGGGGUAAAGGCCUACCAAGGCGACGAUCUGUAGCGGGUCUGAGAGGAUGAUCCGCCACACUGGGACUGAGACACGGCCCAGACUCCUACGGGAGGCAGCAGUGGGGAAUAUUGGACAAUGGGGGGAACCCUGAUCCAGCCAUGCCGCGUGUGUGAAGAAGGCCUUAUGGUUGUAAAGCACUUUAAGCGAGGAGGAGGCUACUUUAGUUAAUACCUAGAGAUAGUGGACGUUACUCGCAGAAUAAGCACCGGCUAACUCUGUGCCGGCAGCCGCCGCCG
rnacentral:rRNA from 1 species